GCUAUGUAUAUUGAUGAUGAUGGCACCGCGUUUGGUAUCGGCUCGCUCGUGAUACUUCAUUUUAUUUGUUCAUUCCAUUCUGUGUGGUUAGAUCGGGAUUGUGUGUUACUUUUUCAGUGUUGGCCGUCAUUAACAGUAAUUACAACACUGACAUGAAGAAAUAAUGUAACUGGCAGCCCUCGACUGUCGGUGACAGUUGCAAAACAAAAUUAAAUCCAUUAAAAGAAAAACAACUAUCCAUCGUUCCGGCGCUGUGAAGUUUUCGUUCAGCCAAAAAAGAUCACCAGGUGCGCUUUCCACAUCCGUUCUGGCACCUCCAAGGACAUCCUUACUGAUGUAGUAAAUCCGCUGACGCGAAUUAAGCAGAAAGACUUUGAGAUUCUGGAACCGUAUGUGAGUAGUUUACUGCAUGGAUGCAAAGAGGAUUUCUGGAUGUUCACGCAGUUCGCAGCAGUUUCGUGAGAUCAAUAUGUCCCAGCGGCAUCUGACAAACUCGUCCCGGCCCGACGUCUCAACCAUCAAUUAUCGACCAUUAAAACGGUCCAGCAUAAGUUGUUUGAAGCUGAACGGCGUUGCAAAAUUAAGGCGGCUUUUUCAAAAGGCAAGCUGGUGCCAGCUGGCGAAGCACUUCGGAAACGAAUUUCAUAUCAAGGACAAAUAAGAGAGGUUAUCGAGAUUGAGAAGUCUGAAUAACUGGUAUCCAUCAACAACCAAUCUACCACUGAACAUCGAGUGCUUCAUGAACGAAUUUCACGCCCAUUCGAGGAUACAACGUACAACGGUUUAAUAAUGUUAUGCGACAACUUGCUCCAGCCGAUUCUCCCGCGCAUCGAAGCCGCUGUGAAAAGAAAAGCCGCUGAACGAUUUUAGUCCAGUUCUGCGGAACAUGUAUUACAUAAAAAGUAGCAGCCGUAUUCCGUGGCUUUCAAAUAUUUUUUUAUUGUUUAAUGUUUAUGAUUGUUCAAUUCAUUGAAGCAUUGAA